rfam:Schistosoma curassoni strain Dakar, Senegal genome assembly, scaffold: SCTD_contig0000187
AUAUAGAUGACAAGUCCCAAAUAGGACGAAACACGUAUCCUGCAU